rnacentral:rRNA from 1 species
GACGAACGCUGGCGGCGUGCCUAAUACAUGCAAGUCGAGCGCAGGAAACUGACGGAACUCUUCGGAGGGAAGGCAGUGGAAUGAGCGGCGGACGGGUGAGUAACACGUAAGGAACCUGCCUCAAGGAUUGGGAUAACUCCGAGAAAUCGGAGCUAAUACCGGAUAGUUCAACGGACCGCAUGGUCCGCUGAUGAAAGGCGCUUCGGCGUCACCUUGAGAUGGCCUUGCGGUGCAUUAGCUAGUUGGUGGGGUAACGGCCCACCAAGGCGACGAGGGAUAGCCGACCUGAGAGGGUGAUGGGCCACACUGGGACUGAGACACGGCCGAGACUCCUGCGGGAGGCAGCAGUAGGGAAUCUUCCACAAUGGACGAAAGUCUGAUGGAGCAAGGCCGCGUGAGUGAUGAAGGUUUUCGGAUAGUAAAACUCUGUUGUAAGGGAAGAACACGUACGAGAGGAAAUGCUCGUACCUUGACGGUACCUUACGAGAAAGCCACGGCUAACUACGUGCCAGCCGCCGCCGUAAAAC